AGCAAGAGAUGAUCUAUCUGCAUGAAUUUGAUCAAUGCUUGAGGUUAUUACCAAUGAAGCAAGGUAAUUCUUCUUCCUUGGGACAAGUAGGCUUCAGCACAGUAGCUAGAAGUGGUGGUGAUGCUUUGAGACCAACUUCAUGAAUGGAGACGAGUUCUUCUUUCUUUUGUACCAGGGGACAAAGAUGAACUUGUGUCUCAAGUUUUUUAAUAUGAUAAAUAUAGUUUAUGUCUCAAGUUUUGUAAAAGACUUUUACAAAUUUUUUCAAAAAUUUAAAUUUUUGGAUCCUCAAUUUUGGAUCUACCAUUGGAGUGUGAAAAAAAUAAAAAACUAACUAAGUGUCUAAAUUUCAAAUUUUGCAUUAUUUACAAUUAUAAAUAUGGUUUGGACUCCUAAUGUGAGUCCAGCCAUUGGAGAUACUCUUA